rnacentral:lncRNA from 1 species
CAACACACAACUCCAGGACACGGAGACGUCAGAUAAGUUGGAUGACAGCAACUGGUUUGAUUCAAAUCCAGAAGUAAGUGAUCUACUCAUGACACCCUUACCGGACACCCCGUUAAAACAGCCGGCUUCAAAAAAGACGAAAAGAGAUCUGUUAGACCACCAUGACAGCUCGUCAGAGAUUCUGUCAGCGAUCCACGAACUCUCCGGGAAAUAUGAUAAAAUGCUCCAAAAAAUAUCUGCCAUUGAAUUAUCUACCGGAGCAACAGCGAAACAGAUGGAAACUUUAUCUUCGACCGUGACGCAACUUGUAAUGGACGUUGCUGUACAUAAAGAAUCCUUAUCUGCUAUAUCCACCGAGAUUCAAGCAAUCAAAAAGACGACCAAAUCCAUGAAACUAGAACUCGGGGAAUGCAAAAGAUACAGCUGGAAAUGGACCCUGAAAUUACAUGGUGUCAAGGAGAAAGAGGCAGAGAACACCCGAGGAGUGACAGUUGAUAUUCUCAGCAAUGUUGUUCCUGGAAUGAGUGAUGACUUAGAAAGAGUUAUCGACAUCGCACAUCGAGUUGGUCCAAAAAGGAUGGAUGGGAAACCCAGAUCUAUCAUCAUUCUCUUUGCACUUCGUCGUUUCAGAGACAUCAUCUGGCAAGCAGCCAAAGGAUGCAAAUUUUUAAACAGCAACCAACUCCGCCUGACAGAAGCGCUAUCCCCAGAAGAUCGUCUCGCCAGAGAGAAACUAUGGCCUCUGAUCAAACAAGCUAGAGAUAAGGGAAAGAAAGCUUCUUAUAGAAGCUCUUAUGCGUUAAUUGAUGGCCAAAAAUACAACUAUUCUGAAGUAGAAUAACUCUCUUGCACCAAGGAAUGUCAGUUUUCGGGUGCUAGCAAAUAACAUGUCUCUAUUUUGUGGGGGAAAAAAAAAAAAAAAAAAAAAAAAAAAAAAAAACCCUGUUGCUGAAUAGUUUAUGUAGCCAUAAUGUUCCAAUGGACCAAUAAUUUAACUAUACAUAGCCCAUCCUUAAAUUUGUAUGCAUACAUACUUUGAUAUUUUAAGGUGUAAAUUCUUGUUUUAAUGUUAUUAUACGUUGCUAGUUGCACAUUGUUCCUAUUCCUAUUUACUCUAAUUUCUGUUUAGUAGGUUUAGCUGUAGUGUUCGUUCUAGUUAUGGAAUACAAGUUUAAUUCA